rnacentral:rRNA from 1 species
GAUGAACGCUGGCGGCGUGCCUAAUACAUGCAAGUCGAGCGAACGGACGAUACGCUUGCUUCUCUGAUGUUAGCGGCGGACGGGUGAGUCACACGUGUAUACCCUACCUAUAAUUCUGGUAUCACUUCGGGAAACCGGCUCUAAUACCGUAUAAUCUUUUGAUCCGCAUGGUUCAAAGGUGAAAGACGGUCUUGCUGUCUCUUCUAGCUGGUUCCGCGCUUCAUUAGCUAGUUGGUAAGGUAACGGCUUACCAAGGCAAGGAUGCAUAGCCGACCUGAGAGGGUGAUCGGCGACACGGGAACUGAGACACGGUCAAGACGCCUAAGGGAGGCAGCAGUAGGGAACCUUCCGCAAUGGGCGAAAGCCUGACGGAGCAACGCCGAGUGAGAGAUGAAGGUCUUCGGAUCGUAAAAAUCUGUUAUUAGGGAAGAACAUAUGUGGAAGGAACUGUGCACAGAGUGACGGUAACGAAUCAGAAAGCAACGGCUAACUACGUG